rnacentral:lncRNA from 1 species
UUGGAAGGUCAAUCUUAAAUGCUGUAUAGGAGGAUCUCAUUGAGAAGAUAUCAUUUGAGCAAAGAUGUAAAGCAAGGGAGGGAAUGAGUCAGUGGCUACAUAGCGAGAGUGUCCUAGGCAGAGGAAACAGCUUCUACAAAAGCCCUGAAGCAAGAGAAUGUUUGAAGUGUUCAAGAAUAAACAGGAGAUGCAGAAUGAAUGGAAUUGAGAGUGAGUGAGGCAGUCGGAUACAAGAGAGACUAAUAUGGGGCAGCACUGAAGACUGCUGACAGCAGCCACAUGAGUGAGCUCAGAGUGGACACAACAGCCCCUUCAGAGGCUGCAGGGAUGGCAGACAGCCUGACUGCAAUGUCGUGAAAGAUGCUGAGGCAGAACCAUGCAGCAAAGUCAUUCCCAGAUUCCUGACUCUCAGAAAAUUGUUACUUUAGAGAAGUCUGAACUUGCCCUUUUUUUCAUCUUUAUGCCUGAGGAAAUUUUUCUUUAUCAUCAAAGAACUCUGAGAAUUGAUGGGCACUGUGUUAGAGCAAGUGGGAAGUAUAGACACAGCUUCCCAUGUUAAGCACGAGCAAGAAGAAAAUAAUUUGAAUGGAAACUAUUCAAAUAUAUCACAGUGAUCAAAGAUUUAAAAGUGGAUGAAAAGAGACAGCUCAAGAACCCAAUUCAGAAGACAGCAUAGCUCAAGGAGUAAGCGGUGAACCCAGGCUUCCUGAUAUCAACAUCAUCCAAGGUGACUUUCUGGAAUAAAAGAGGAAUGUGAGAACAUCUGGUAGGGGAUGGCUCAAUAAAGAAAAAGUACAGGGAAUACCCAGCAGCCAAUCUGAAACUGCCAUUCAUAAAGAACUCAUCACAUAGGGAAAGGGCAUAUGGAGUUAUUAAGAAAAAGAACAGAAAGAGUGGGGAAGCUGCAAAAAUGAGUCCUCUGUGUUCAGCCACGUUCCCUGCCAUGUC